ensembl:lncRNA
UGCGUGCUGACUAGAGCUUGGAAAGCUGUUCCAAGCAUGAGAGAAGGUGUGGGAGAUGGUGCAGAAAUGCCUCUGUGAUGAGGGAAUGAAGGGGAAUGCAAGGCAUUAAAGGAUGUGUCUUUUUGGCUACUGCUCUGCUGCAGCUGAAACUUUCCCAAAACUCACAGCUAAGCAGUUCAGUGUGUGUUGCGUGGGACAGCUACAGAAUUCCAAUUACUGCAACGGUAACACAAGCCAAUAUCCUGAAUCCCAGGCUUGUGACCAGCCACCAAACCGGUACCCAAAGGACAGGAGUGGUCCAAGCAGCAGUAGCAAAUGUCAUCUCCCACUAAACCUGCCCAGAGGAAAAUGGAGAAGUAUACUCAAAGAUGGUGUUUGCCUACCUCACAGUGCAAAGCAAAGUCUCAGUGACAUGACUCCACAUUUUUAUUUUGCACUUCAGAUUGUCUCAAAUAUUUCCAGUGGAUGGUAAAUGCUGUCUUCUGUAACAAGUUCUCCUGAAGCCUUACUUGAUCAUGAUUACAAGGUAAAUCUCAUAAUCAGAGACUCUUCUAAAUGCUGAAGGAUUGCUGGGGUUCAGAAGGAUCUAUCUCAGCUUAUAUGUAACUCAAUUUCAAACGAGGAUCAAUAUUCUUCAUAAAUAUCCUAAAACUUACUCCGGUCAGUGGAUAAAACUUUUCUAGAGAAGAAAGUAUACUUUUGUUGUUAUAGAAUUUGAAAAAGAACAUGAACUUAGAAGGGUUUCAGUCUCCUUUUGAGAGGGAAGUUCUUUAGAAGUUAUGGAAAAUAGACUUUCUUGAAAAUACAUUUCUAUACAAAAGGAACGUCAAGUAUUUCUGAAAAUGUGAGAAUAGAGAAAGAGAACAUUUUCCCAGAGCUGCAAAUCACUGGAGGCUGCCUUCCAGGAGAAGAAACUUGAUGUUCCCACUGGGAGCUGACCCCACAUGUGACUCUCGG